CAGGUUGAAAUAGAUAAAACAAUGGUGUAUGUACAUGUUUUGGUUUUCUCCACUUAUGAGUCACUCAGUUCAAUAUCAAUCUGUCAUGCUAAAAAAGGGCUGAGUUGCAAAAUCGUACAGGAAAUAUGGUGCAUCACAAUAUCACUUUACAGCAUCGCAUGUGUAAUGGCUUGAACAUUGCUUCAAGUGGUCCAGAGAGAUCACUCUCAGCCAGGGGAGUAGCCAGGAGUUAAUUUCAAGAGGCGGGUGGAAAUGUACUAUACAACAUUAUAUUGUGAAAUGUGACAUGCUCAUGCUUUUUGGGUGGAUGCCGGACAGUAGGAGUAGGGGAAGCAUGCAUGAUUCUGAUUGGUUAAAUCUGGUGCUCGCAAUAGCAUUAAAAUGUUAAUAAACAAACUCAGGCUAUUUGAGUAUGAAAUUGUAAUGGAAUCUUUUAUGAACAUCAUUACAUACAACAUAACUUGAUGCGUAUAUAUAUUCAGUUAUAAGCACCCACAAGUAAGCAUUUGGAACUGAUAUAAAAUAUUUCAGGGGGGUUCAAACCCAAAAUCCAGCCCUCUAGCGACGCCUCAGCUCUCAGUCAACAUCAGUUUAUUAAAAGCACUGCUUUCUCUCUUUUAUACCUGUUUUUUCUUAACAAAAGGAGGCUUAGGCUACUUAUGCAUGUGAUUUGUGAGAUCAAAUCGUAGCCAGGUGUCUGAAAGAGAGCAUUACUGUCCGGCUCGCUGUGUGGGAACGACAGCCUUUCUCCCUCGACCUGUCAAUCAGUGUGACAUGAGGAAACUUGUUCAACUUCACCCUCUCUGAAUGGUAGCUGUGAGACUGGCUAUGACUGAACUGGAGAAGAAAAUUCCCGUUUUCCAGUUCCCGUUAUUCAUGUUCCUGUUUUACAUGUUAUAGAACAGAGAUUGAUUAAUGGCACAUGUCAUUACGUCCCCACACCACGCCAUCCGACGUUCCCUCCAGAAUUUCGAAAUACAGUUCGUCUUCGUUAUGGUACCGUAUACAGUUUUGGGUGUUUUUUAUUUAAAAUUUUACAAAAGCUUCAAGUGCAGUUAAUUAUUUGUCAUGCUAUACAUGCAAUUGGACGACUGCUUGAAGCCGUGGGCUGCGUCCAAAACCACGUACUUACCUGCUAUAUAGUAGCUGAGAUACAUGUAUUUCACCUACUAUAUGCAUGUAUUUCACCUACUAUUUAGUAGGUGAAAUACUUGUAUAUAGUAGGUGAAAUACUUGUAUAUAGCAGGUGAAAUACACGUAUUUCGGCUACAAUAUAGUAGAUGAAAUACAUGUAUAUGGUAGAAUACAUGUAUAUAGUAGGUGAAAUACAUGUAUAUAGUAGAAUACGUGUAUAUAGUAGGUGAAAGACAUGUAUAUAGUAGAAUACGUGUAUAUAGUAGGUGAAAGACAUGUAUAUAGUAGGUGAAAUACGUGUAUAUAGUUGGUGAAAUACUUGUAUAUAUUAGGUGAAAUACACGUAUUUCGGCUACAAUAUAGUAGGUGAAAUACAUGUAUAUGGUAGAAUACAUGUAUAUAGUAGGUGAAAUACAUGUAUAUAGUAGAAUACGUGUAUAUAGUAGGUGAAAUACAUGUAUAUAGUAGGUGAAACACACGUAUUUCAGCUACGAUAUAGUAGGUGAAAUACAUGUAUAUGGUAGAAUAUAUGUAUAUAGUAGGUGAAAUACAUGUAUACAGUAGGUGAAAUACAUGUAUAUAGUAGGUGAAAUACACGUUUUUGGUUACGAUAUAGUAGGUGAAAUACAUGUAUAUAGUAGAAUACGUGUAUAUAGUAGGUGAAAGACAUGUAUAUAGUAGGUGAAAUACGUGUAUAUAGUUGGUGAAAUACUUGUAUAUAUUAGGUGAAAUACUUGUAUAUAUUAGGUGAAAUACACGUAUUUCGGCUACAAUAUAGUAGGUGAAAUACAUGUAUAUGGUAGAAUACAUGUAUAUAGUAGGUGAAAUACAUGUAUACAGUAGGUGAAAUACAUGUAUAUAGUAGGUGAAAUACGUGUAUAUAGUUGGUGAAAUACGUGUAUAUAGUUGGUGAAAUACUUGUAUAUAUUAGGUGAAAUACACGUAUUUCGGCUACAAUAUAGUAGGUGAAAUACAUGUAUAUAGUAGGUGAAAUACACGUAUAUAGUAGAAUACAUGUAUAUAGUAGGUGAAAUACAUGUAAGUAAUGG
ensembl:lncRNA